UUCCCUGCCACAUGAAAAUCCUCUCUGAGCUUUGACUUCUGCUUUGGCCCCCAGGAGCAGGGCACAGCAGCAACAACCUGGGCUGCUUUUAGGUGGUCCCACAGGUGCUGAGCAUCUCGUUAAUAAAUGAAGCAUCAAAUAAAGAAGCCGAGCUUUUGGCCAGGGCAUGUUAAGCCUGUCCCAGACCCUCCCAUAUCCUCACUGCCUUCCUCCCCUGCCAAGAGAUGUGGCCGUGCUGCUGGUUUCUGCCAUCCCCAGCCACCCAGAAGCAUCAUGAGCUCACCCCAUGCUGUCAGCACCAGAGCCCAGGGAUGCGAUGGAAAAAGCCCAGAGCUGAAAACCUUUCCCUUCCCAUCUCCUGCUCCCUGUGUGAUGCUCUGCAGUUUCCUGAACGCUUCUCCAAGAAGUCCCGCAAUGAAAGGAGUGGUUUCCCUUGGCUCCCUUCCCAGACCUGCCCAAACAGAAGGAUGCUGACCUCAGGCUGUUAAACACUUUGAUGUAUGGCCGUGUCUCCUUAAGUCGAAGAUCCAUAUUCUUAAGCUAAGCUGCCAUGACACGGGGACAUUAUGAACUCCCCGAACCAACCGAAUCCUACAAAUGAGCCAUUAGUUGGCUGCACGGCGCAUUGGCUCCGUGUGCCCGAGGGGGCUCCCGUUAAAUAAGAUAAUCGUUGCUGUCCACGUGCCCCCCGGGCUGCUGCGUGUUCAUUUUAAUGCCAUUUGUCUUGCCCCCCUGCCCCCCUUUCCAAGCACAUUGGCCAGAAAAUCCCCACGCAGCCCCGUCAAAAAUGGGAGCGAAUUUGAGGAAAAUCUCAGCCUUUUGCCAGCACCCAUCAAAACCUGACUUGUUACUCGUGAUGGCAAAUGCCUCAUCCUGCUCGUGGUGUCUGUGUCUGAUGUGUCUGAUGGGGUCCUGAGGAGGUGUGCUGGGGUCCUUUGGGCUCCCAAAUGUCCUCGGAGCGGCAAAAAGACCCCUUUCUGUGCUCGUGGCUCUGUGCUCUGACGAGCCACGUGGCGGAUAUUGAGGAGAGCAUCGCGGAGAGGUGCCCUGGGGAAAGGAGCAGUGGGGAGUCUUAGCCUAAAAAAAAUUAAAUAAAAAAAAAAUGGAAUGAAAGCUCAAAGAGAAAAAAAAAAAAAAAGAGCAAAGCGUAAAAAUGACAAAAUUCAUCAUAUAAAGGGACAAACUCUCCUGCAGGAAGCCCAACACGCAGCAGGUGCCCCGGAGGGGAUUUGCACACCCGCCGUGUUCGGGCAGAGCUCCUCGCCUCUCCGCCGCGUGCCUCUUUCUGUGCUCCAAAUGUUUCUGCUCCCUUGGCAGAUCUCAUCUGUCUUGCAGCAUUGUCUGCAUGCAGAAGUGUGAAAGGGAGCCCAGAACUGCAGAGAGAAAAAACUUGGGGGUAAUUUAUUGCCUGGCAAGGGAGGGAGGAGGAAUCCAGCUCCUGAGAGCGGCGUGCGUAAUUACGGUUUACUCUGUGACCUCCUCUGGAGGCAGCUCUCAGCAGCCUCCUUCGAGGAAACUUGGGUCGUUUGUAAAUGGAAGCAAAAUAUUUGCUCGAAAUGAUUGUUCUUUAAGGGGCUGUCACUGCAGCAUUAGUGAUGAGAGCUCCAGGAAGGAGGCCCUGUGUCUGAACACAUCGAGAUGCACAGGGUACGUGGGCGCAGGGCAUCCAUCAACCACUAUUUAGUGGGUUUGCUUUUCACCUAAAAGGGAACUUUUUGCCACCGUUUUCUUUUGGCUUUUUCGUGCUCCAAGGCCAGAAGGACAGAAAGCAAAAUAACCCAAAAUGGACCAGAAAAGGCCAUGCUGGGUGAUGUAGUGAGAAGCUCCCAUUUUCUGCUCAUGUUCCUGGCUCUCCCAGGAGGGCGAGGAAGCAAGGAGGACCCCCGACAGGCUGAGAAUUUGCCUUGAUUUUGUUCUCAUUUAUUUGUUGCCAGGAUUCCUAAAAUACACGCUUGCACAGCAAUUAAAUUACAUUUAAUUUGAUUAGAGUGAAGCUGAGGGUUGCACUCCUCUCCCUCCCUGAUGGAAGGAAAGGAGAAAUGAAACCUCUCAAGAAAAAAAACAUGACUUGGGCUCAGAAACGCAAAACCCCCAAAUUUAUCUAGAUGAAGAAAAGGAAAUGUAAUGAACUUGAAUUGGGCAGGAAGCCUAGAGAGAGAAUCAAAAGUUUGGGGGAUUCAUCGGAGGACAUAAUUGCAACAUGUAUAUUGAUUUUCCAGAGAUAAGAAAACAAAUGUUUGUGGAGAUUGGAUUAGUUUAUUACAUUUAUUUCCCCACAGAGUUGAUGUUUCUCCAUUAGGAAAAAAUGCCAUGUUCUUAAAUGCAUUGUUUGUUUUUUUCCAGAGAUGCUUGUUAAGUUCUUGCCUGAUCCCACUGGCUCUAUCUCCUUGCAAAUUGGUUUGUCUGGAAGGACGUUACACUUCAGGCAGCUCAUGAAGCAUCCUUUUUUUCCCCCUUUUUUUUUUUUUUUUCCUUAAUUGUUUGCAUGAGAGGGCUGGCAUCGCAUCUCACAGGGAAGAAAAUCCUUUCCUUCAACUCGUGCCCAAACCUCUCGUCUGACGAGGAGAGAAACUGGGGCAAAUCAGCCCCGGGACAACCUCAUCCGAGAGGUGAAGGCUUCCUUUUAUCCGUCAGCGUGAUGGCUUUGGCCGUGUAAAUUAUUCAGCGUUAAUCCUGCGUGCUCCUAAGUCUCCUGGUAGCUGCUCGGAGCUCGCUAAUGCUGCUGCUUAAUCACAGCUCAGGCUCUGCUUUACAUGGCAGCGAAACAACACCUCCAGCUCUGCCUGAUUGGGGUUUAAGUUCUGAUUUCUCUCCGAGCAUAAUCAGGCCUGAAUGGGAGAUUUUUACAGUGACAAUUAAAAUAAUGAAAGUGAACUUUAAAUGACAUUCAAACACCGUCACCUGCUCCCGGCUCUCCGCUCUCUCCCCCCCCCAUCCCCUGCAUGUUGGGAGCUGCAAUUUGGAGCAUCAUUCACUGCGGGGUGAUUACAGCUGCAGCUAUUCAGCGCCUCGAGCUCCCACCCUGCAGCAGGCUGAAAGGAAGCGUUUUCAGGUGGCAGGACCUGCCCCUGCGCCCGGUUUCCAGGAAAGCUCAAUAUUUUGAGUGCAUGACGGGGCCCGAACACUUUCAGGGAGCUGGAAGGGGUCCUGAAUUAGUUUUCUCUCCGUGGCAUUUACAAAUUGUAAUGAAUACGGAUUGUGUUUGCGGCGGAUAAUAGUAAAGGGUUUAUUGAUUCGCAGAUCAUUAUUUUACUAUACAUCCAGAUAAAGGCAACCCAUGGAAUUACUCACGCGGCCAGGGUCAGGGGCUGAUCCAAAGCCUCUUUUUAUCUAUUCCAUUCAGAUUUGGGAAUUUUGGAAGUGAAAGGUGUGCACAGAACAACCCGGUGCCACCCGGGCACUGACAUCCCUCUGCAACACCCAUGGAACACUUUUACCCUGAGUGUAGGGUUGGGGGUCAAAAUUGGGCCAAAAACAAAAAGAAGGGUGUCCCUAAAAGAAAAUGUGAAGAAACCACUUUUUUUUUUUUUUUUUUCCAUGGGAGAAGGUAAUUGAUUUUUUAAUCCAGUGGGCUAGUUACACAGCUUUGUUUCUGCGAGCAAGUCUUCUGUUCUUCUUCUUUUCUGUCUCCUGUUAUAAGGAAGACGGAAGAAUCAGGAGGGAGGGGAAGGUUCCCCAUCAGUAUUUUGAAAUGGAGAUGUACUACAAAAGUUGAGAAAUUAGGGAAAAAAAGCUAAAUUUAGGGAACAAACUAGCUGAGAAAAAAUCAUUCUGAUGGCAGAAAUUGCAGGAGGGUGGUGGAAAUCCCUGAUCCACCCAAAUUUAGCAGCUGAGGCUGAGAGGGGGAGCAAGGAGCCCCAGAGCAGGGCGAGCUGAGGGUGCUUGGCUCCUGGUUGCUGCUCUGGUUUAGCUGCCGGCCCCAUGAAAUCAGCUUUCAGCCUGAUGUUCCCAGCCCUCUGUUUUCUUGGGGAAUGGAAACCAAAUCCUGCCCCCCUGCCUCGCCCCUCCAAACCCUGCAGUGAUGCACGGAGCGAGUGGUUUUCCUCUGCCUCCUUCAGAUCCCUGCUCCCCCCCCAAAUUUUCGGGGCGUGCGUCUGGCUGAUAAGGAGGGGUUGGAGCAGUGUCUGCAGCAGCUUUCCCCAGCCAAGGAGCUUUGCCAGGAGGGACAGGCAGCGUUCACAGGAGCUGGCAGCCAAAGCAGCCCAAGUCCUGAGCCCCUGCUUGCUGCACACAAGGAGCCUGGCACCGUGGUGCAACCCUGAAUGCAGCAGGGCUACCGAAAGCAGUGAUAAAAUUCAAGGUAGGGAGGAAGAUGCUGGUGGGGCGGUGAUGUGGCACCUUCACGUCUGUCUCCUGGGCACUUCACAGCAGAAGCAGGAAAGAAAACCCCGAUUUGAGAGUGAUCCAAGAGCAGCAGCAGGUUCCUGAGACGUGAAUGGGAGGGAUGUCUUAGUGCUGAGCUCGUGCCGUGUUUUCUUACCUCGUGUCUCUGCCCCCUUCCCAUGCGGAGCUGCUGCUGCUGCCUUUAUCUUGGGCUCAGCAGGAGGGGGCUGCCAGGCAGGAGCCUGGCUGGGCUCCCUGGGAAUCUCCCAUCAAUCUGCUGGUUGCAGGUGAUAAAGCCUUUGCUCGGAUGUUUUUAGCACGUUUCGGUUGUGCUCUGGGAGCUGCAAGGAGCCAAGAGCCUUGCUGCUGCCAGAUGCAGUGAUUUAUGUUUUUUUCGCAGCAUGACACCCCUUGGCCGAGGGGUUAGGGUGAACCAAAGGGUUUUGGGGGCUCCAGGACAUCACAGCACCAUUGUGGAAGUUGUUUUGCCCCUGCUCAGGCUUGCAGCUGCUGGGGCCACACGCUCCCCGUCGCACCUCACCUCCUCCUGCAUUAGGAUUCCUCUCCGAGUCCCGCCUGCGCCUUUGAUUUUGGUGCUCGCUCCUCGCUGGGGACGACACGCUGUUCUGUUCAUUUGUUUUCUGAUAAUCUCCACCAGUCUCCGAGGCUUCCUCGCCCCCCGCCGCAACUGCUGGCUGCUAAUUUCCAUCCAAAUCAAGCGCGGCGCGUGGCUGCUCGGCGCUCAGGCCCGGCUCUUCAGCGCUUAGCACCGAUUGCCUUCCCCAGAGCCAGCAGGCUGCUUGCUGGAGGGCAGGUCCAGAAACCUCCUGUGUGCCCGAGGGGACAUCCAGAGACGUCCCCAUAAACAUCAGAGGAUCGGCUGAGUCCCAGCAUCCCAUCCAUUUGCUCGGGGGCUGAGGGAUUGUGUCUGCUACGAAUCUGUUUUGUCUCGACAUACCUGAGUAUCUCAUUUUUGUGCACCCAUAAUCACAUUUCUUAGUCUCCGUUUCUUCUCUUAAGGAUCUUUUUUUACGCUGUGUUUGUGCUGGGAGCUGGAACCGUCCCCAGGGUGUCUUGCAAAGCCUCAGGGAGCUGCAGGGCGCAGGUGCUCACGUGGAGGUUCCCAAACCUCAUCCACUGCGGGGAGGGAAAAGCACCAGCAGUGCAGGAUGUGCCUGGCAGAACAGACCCCAAGGCACACCUUUAAAUAGGAUGCGGGGCAUUUCGAGGCCAUUACCUUCACUGGGGGGGGACAGCGUGUGGAUAAAGGUGUACUUGUGGCAGGGCAAAGGCUGGGCACGCUGCGUGUCUUGGGGAUGCAAUGGAAAGGUGAGGGCUGACAACACAAUCUGGUGUAGGCAUCAGAAAUCAAGGCAGCCCCAUUGCCGUGGCCUCCUAUCUGCAACCGAGGCAGCUUUGCAGCUCUUCACUUCUAAUUACCCACGGAUAAUAAAUGAAUACAAUAGUGAAGGAUAUUAGAAUAAUUUACUGUUCAUCAAAGUAAAAAAGAUUGGAAUCGUUCGCCGUCGGUAUAUCCAUUUCUGGAGAGAGGAUCCUACCCCAGAGACCUUCCAAUCAGCCCCUUCUGACAACUCCUGCCAAAAACCCGUUACAGCUAUUAGCAACAAAGUUAUUAGCUGGUAAUUAACUCUGUAAUUAACUUCAUAAGUGACUUCAGCAAUCAAUGCUGAGAUCUGGUGUGAACAUGUUGUUUAAAGCACGGGGAGAUCUCUGUUGGAUGGCAGUGGCAGGAGGAUCCCUGUCCCGGAUCGUCCUGCUCGGAGCAGGGACGUGAUGGGAUUUUGGAUGAGUGAAAUCCCCACGCGAGGCCUUUCCUGAGCACCUCGUGCUUCCCAGCCUUGCAGCCACCAGCACGCAACCCGACGUCUCUUGACGAGGCUUUGAACCAAAAAUCCUCACGACCGAAUUCUUUGCACGAAGCGCUGAAUCACUCCUUCGUCUUCAACAAAGAUGCUGUCACCUCCUGAUCUUCAGGCCAAUUUUCUCUCCAGUCUGCCUUUCAGCAUAACCAGGCACUCCAGCUCGAGUGGGUUUUAUCCCCGAGUUUCUUUCCUCCCCUUCCCGUCCCCUUCCCUCUCCACCCACUCGCUCCACGACUCGCUCGAGGACGCCGCAGUCGCGGUGCGUUAACGCAGCCCCCAGAGCUCUUCUGUCUCAUCACGGAUGCGGAGGGAAAGGGAACGGAUUCGGCAUUUAAUAGAGCUAUCCUCAAGGACACCGAGGCAGCUAUUCAGGAACGAUCAAAUGACAGGUUUGAAUAUCAAACAGCAGCCCUGACAGCCAGGGAAUCAGACAUCUCUUGCCGUACACCUGAUAUCCUAAUCUGAAAUGAGAAUCUCGGGGGAGGCGCGUCCUUUUCAAAGGGUGCUUUUUAAAAAAGGGGGAAAAAAAAAUAAUAAUGGUAACUUUUGCUUUUGCCUUCAGAAGUUUAACAAAAGUGCAUCCAUUCAGGGAAAUCAUUUAUCUGCAGUGGCAAUCAGCUUAAAUACGGCCCAUUAUCAAGCUGCCUGCUACUGUACAUCAGCGGGCGCUGUUACGACACGCGGCUGAGUGGGGAUAACAUGCUCGUAAUUACUCGUCUUUGGAAAAUAACCUCAGCUGAUGAGAGGAGGGGCAAGACGGGAAAGCAGAUAAAGCCAGGGGAGGCAGGGAGCAGCCGGGAAGGGAUUCACCUGGCCCUACCUGGUGGCUUUGGCUGCUGUGGUCCCUUGGGUCACACACGGACAGCAUCGCCCCAACGCCAUCCCUCUGCUCCUCCAGCCUUGGCACAGGCACCCAAUUACCUUCAGCCCGCGUCUGAGCAGCCACAACCUUUCUCAUUUCGGAAAAAAAAACAUGUAAGCAGGGCUGUAUCUCUAUACCCUAUAUGUAUAUUCCUUGAUAUAUAACUUAAUAAAAGUUUAUGGACCCAGGAUAAGGAAUCCACGCUGAAUAGAUGAACCGGGAUUGAAAUAUGGUCCAAUUAAGCCUGUAACGGGGCUGGCUUUACUUUGAACAUCCUCCAACUUGAAAUGAAAUCUCCACCGAAGGAGAUAAAUCAGCCGACAUAAAAGGCAGCCCCCUUUUCACCGCGGCAGCUCCCGCACGAGCUGGGAUCAGCCCCUGCAGCGGGUCGGGAAGAGCGAUUCCUAUGGGAACACGUAGACCUCUCCAUCGCUUGGGAUGCUCUUCCCUGGCUUUUCCUGCCCUGAUCCCGGCAGGAACGGGGCUCACCCAAGCUCCCACAGCAACGAGGGCAGGAACAACCCAGCCUGGUGCUGAGCACCCCUCCUGCAGCGCUCAGCAGCUCCACCGGACCCCUGGCGCUUCCCCGCAGCACAAA